rnacentral:rRNA from 1 species
GUGGGGAAUAUUGGACAAUGGGCGAAAGCCUGAUCCAGCAAUGCCGCGUGAGUGAAGAAGGCCUUCGGGUUGUAAAGCUCUUUUACCCGGGAAGAUAAUGACUGUACCGGGAGAAUAAGCCCCGGCUAACUCCGUGCCAGCAGCCGCGGUAAUACGGAGGGGGCUAGCGUUGUUCGGAAUUACUGGGCGUAAAGCGCACGUAGGCGGUCUUUUAAGUCAGAGGUGAAAGCCCGGGGCUCAACUCCGGAAUUGCCUUUGAAACUGGAGGACUUUAACACGGGAGAGGUGAGUGGAAUUCCGAGUGUAGAGGUGAAAUUCGUAGAUAUUCGGAGGAAUACCAGUGGCGAAGGCGGCUCACUGGACCGUUGUUGACGCUGAGGUGCGAAAGCGUGGGGAGCAAACAGGAUUAGAAACCCGUGUAGUCC